UACGAAGGGGGCUAGCGUUGUUCGGAAUUACUGGGCGUAAAGCGCACGUAGGCGGAUAUUUAAGUCAGGGGUGAAAUCCCAGAGCUCAACUCUGGAACUGCCUUUGAUACUGGGUAUCUUGAGUAUGGAAGAGGUAAGUGGAAUUGCGAGUGUAGAGGUGAAAUUCGUAGAUAUUCGCAGGAACACCAGUGGCGAAGGCGGCUUACUGGUCCAUUACCGACGCUGAGGUGCGAAAGCGUGGGGAGCAAACAGG
rnacentral:rRNA from 1 species